rfam:Myotis davidii contig319889, whole genome shotgun sequence.
UUUUUAGUAUAAGUAUGUUCCAUGCAGUACUUGGGAGAUACAUAUACUAAAC